AAGUUACACAUAUUCUUUGAAAUGCAAAUUCAAAAUUGGGCAACCCUGUAACUUA
rnacentral:tRNA from 1 species